GAUGAACGCUGGCGGCGUGCCUAAUACAUGCAAGUCGAGCGAAGCGGGGACGGGUGAGUAACACGUGGAUAACCUCCUAUAAGACUGGGAUAACUUCGGGAAACCGGAGCUAAAACGGAUAAUUAUAGAUGGAUCUGCGCUUCAUUAGCUAGUUUGUAAGGUAAAGGCUUACCAAGGAAAAGAUGCAUAUCCGACCUGAGAGUGUGAUCGGCCACACGGGAACUGAGACACUGUCCAGACGCCUACGGGAGGCAGCAGUAGUGAAUCUUCCGCAAUGGGCGAAAGCCUGACGGAGCAACGCCGCGUGAGUGAUGCAGGUCUUCGGAUCGUAAAACUCUGUUAUUAGGGAAGCGGUACCUAAUCAGAAAGCCACGGCUAACUACGUGCCAGCAGCCGCGGUAAUAC
rnacentral:rRNA from 1 species